rnacentral:rRNA from 1 species
GACGAACGCUGGCGGCGUGCUUAACACAUGCAAGUCGAACGGAAAGGCCCCUUUGGGGGUACUCGAGUGGCGAACGGGUGCGUAACACGUGAGUAACCUGCCCUUGACUUCGGGAUAACUUCAGGAAACUGGGGCUAAUACCGGCUAGGAAUCCUUGCUGCAUGGUGGGGGUUGGAAAGCUUCGGCGGUUUUGGAUGGACUCGCGGCUUAUCAGCUUGUUGGUGGGGUAGUGGCUUACCAAGGCUUUGACGGGUAGCCGGCCUGAGAGGGCGACCGGCCACAUUGGGACUGAGAUACGGCCCAGACUCCUACGGGAGGCAGCAGUGGGGAAUAUUGCACAAUGGGCGGAAGCCUGAUGCAGCAACGCCGCGUGCGGGAUGACGGCCUUCGGGUUGUAAACCGCUUUCAGCAGGGGCGAAGCUUGUGGUGACGGUACCUGCAGAAGAAGCACCGGCUAACUACGUG